rnacentral:rRNA from 1 species
AGAGUUUGAUCCUGGCUCAGGAUGAACGCUGGCGGCGUGCUUAACACAUUCAAGUCGAACGAUUAUGGUACUUGUACCAUGAUAGUGGCGGACGGGUGAGUAACGCGUGAAUAACCUGCCUGUAAGUGGGGGAUAACAACCGGAAACAGUUGCUAAUACCGCAUAACACAACGACACCGCAUGAUGAUGUUGUCAAAGAUUUAUUGCUUACAGAUGGAUUCGCGUCCGAUUAGAUAGUUGGUGAGGUAAAGGCCCACCAAGUCGACGAUCGGUAGCCGGACUGAGAGGUCGAACGGCCACAUUGGAACUGAGAAACGGUCCAGACUCCUACGGGAGGCAGCAGUGGGGAAUAUUGGGCAAUGGGCGAAAGCCUGACCCAGCGACGCCGCGUGAGGGAAGAAGGUCUUCGGAUUGUAAACCUUAGUCAACAGGGAAGAAGAAAGUGACGGUACCUGUGGAGGAAGCCACGGCUAACUACGUGCCAGCAGCCGCGGUAAUACGUAGGUGGCGAGCGUUAUCCGGAUUUACUGGGUGUAAAGGGUGUGUAGGCGGGACUGCAAGUCAGAUGUGAAAAUUAUGGGCUCAACUCAUAACCUGCAUUUGAAACUGUGGUUCUUGAGAGUGGGAGAGGUAAGCGGAAUUCCCGGUGUAGCGGUGAAAUGCGUAGAGAUCGGGAGGAACACCAGUGGCGAAGGCGGCUUACUGGACCACAACUGACGCUGAGACACGAAAGCGUGGGGAGCAAACAGGAUUAGAUACCCUGGUAGUCCACGCCGUAAACGAUGAACGCUAGGUGUAGGGGCGCAAGCUUCUGUGCCGCAGUUAACACAAUAAGCGUUCCACCUGGGGAGUACGGCCGCAAGGUUGAAACUCAAAGGAAUUGACGGGAGCCCGCACAAGCAGUGGAGUAUGUGGUUUAAUUCGACGCAACGCGAAGAACCUUACCAGGACUUGACAUCCCAUGGAUUCCGGAUAAUGACGGAAGUGCCCUUCGGGGAACAUGGAGACAGGUGGUGCAUGGUUGUCGUCAGCUCGUGUCGUGAGAUGUUGGGUUAAGUCCCGCAACGAGCGCAACCCUUAUGUUCAGUUACUACGAAAGAGGACUCUGGACAGACUGCCGUUGACAAAACGGAGGAAGGCGGGGACGACGUCAAAUCAUCAUGCCCCUUACGUUCUGGGCUACACACGUACUACAAUGGCGUAAACAAAGAGAAGCGAAAUCGCGAGAUGGAGCAAACCUCAUAAAAGACGUCCCAGUUCAGACUGCAGGCUGCAACCCGCCUGCACGAAGUUGGAAUUGCUAGUAAUCGCGGAUCAGAAUGCCGCGGUGAAUACGUUCCCGGGCUUUGUACUCACCGCCCGUCAA